AUGGCGGCGGCGAAGCCUCCAUUCCCGCUGCUCACGAGGACGAACUACGCGGCAUGGGCGAUGAGGAUGAAGUACCUCUUGCGUGCCAAUGGCGCGUGGGGUGCCGUUGAUCGCGAGGCCACGUCCUCGGAGGUCGACAAGGGCAAGGAGGAGAUGGCCCUGAUGAUCAUCUCCCAGUCCAUCGACGACUCGACGCUGCUGUGA
rnacentral:rRNA from 1 species